rnacentral:lncRNA from 1 species
UUAUGUAUGUAUAUGAGUGUGUGUGCUUUUCUAUUUAGUCGGUCGCGCGGCACACAUUUUUAAUCACUGUCGUCAUUGCGAUUGUGUAAUAAAAAAAAAACAAAUACGAGAAUAUAAAACAAAAAUUGUAACUGAAAUAUUGUAGGUUAGCGCGUGAAUAUGUGUAUGUAUGUAUAUUGAAUGCACAAACGCCAUGCAAGUGAACUGUACAUAAACAGCGCUUGUUGGGAAACUGGGUGACUACUUAAACGUGCAUACUGGCUGCAUUGUCGCACUGACGCACCGACGUCGCAAUCAGUUUGAUAUGCUAUUUUUAGACUCUCGACAGAAUUAAGGUUGCAGUGACAAAACAAAAGGAAAAACAAACACGGCUAUUGACUAUGGCGUAGUGGUGUUGCAAUUAACGGCGCUGUUGAAAUGAGUUGUUGUUGCUGAAUGCAAGAGUAUGAAUGAAACGGUUAAGCGAUGGAAAAAGUAGCUAUGAAAGCAAUAACAACUUAUAAUCAAUGUGCUGAUAAGGGGAUUCACUGGCGUUAUCGCUGCUGUUUGCACACUUUAUUCAUACCGCUUCGCAGAAAUUUCACAAACAUGUGAAAAAAUUAAUAAAACAAUCACUACAACAAAAAUAGUAAUAAA